UACGUAGGGGGCAAGCGUUGCUCGGAAUCACUGGGCGUAAAGGGCGCGUAGGCGGCGUUUUAAGUCGGGGGUGAAAGCCUGUGGCUCAACCACAGAAUGGCCUUCGAUACUGGGACGCUUGAGUAUGGUAGAGGUUGGUGGAACUGCGAGUGUAGAGGUGAAAUUCGUAGAUAUUCGCAAGAACACCGGUGGCGAAGGCGGCCAACUGGUCCGAUACUGACGCUGAGGCGCGAAAGCGUGGGGAGCAAACAGG
rnacentral:rRNA from 1 species